AUGAGAAACUACGUAAGAAAAAUCCUCGAGUUCUUAACAACGAUUAUUAUCGGCGUAAUGAGAAAUUCCAGUAACGAGUACUUUAUCCGUGAGAGAAGCACGCCGAGAAAAUAGUCCAAGAGUCAAUUAAAGAGAGGGAGGGGGCCGGGUUGUAGAAAAACGAGGAGCAAGAAAAGAAUUCGACUUUUACCGUGGGUGCCUCGAUCGCCGAGGGGUGGCCACGUAAAGACGAGCAGAGGUUAACCGUGUUAAGGGUUCAAUUGAAACGCGCCCCUAGUAAUUCGAGACCAAGUGACGGGGUUCUAUUUUCGAAAUAAUAAGCUCUUUCCCUCUCGCAACCGAUAUACCAGAAGAAGAAAAAAAAACUGUCCUGAUACCCAUGCGCCGCCGUCAACUCGAGUGCGUCGAGACGCAAGUCCCUGGCCAAUGAAAGGAAUAAGAUUC